ensembl:snoRNA
GCUGCCCUUAGAUGUGUCGCAGGUGUGGCUGCUGUGUCACAUGUAUGUCAGUAGGUGGCAGAGAGGAUAGAGGCUAUGCCUACGCUCAGUGUUCUGAGCUAUGACAUCUGAAUGAUUAGUAGUUUAACACU